rnacentral:rRNA from 1 species
GAUGAACGCUGGCGGCGUGCCUAAUACAUGCAAGUCGAGCGAACAGACGAGGAGCUUGCUCCUCUUACGUUAGCGGCGGACGGGUGAGUCAUACGUGGAUAACCUACCUAUAAGACUGGGAUAACUUCGGGAAACCGGAGCUAAUACCGGAUAAUAUAUUGAACCGCAUGGUUCAAUAGUGAACGACGGUUUUGCUGUCACUUAUACAUGGAUCCUCGCCGCAUUAGCUAGUUGGUAAGGUAACGGCUUACCAAGGCAACGAUGCGUAGCUGAUCUGAGAGGGUGAUCGGCCACACUGGAACUGAGACACGGUCCAGACUCCUACGGGAGGCAGCAGUAGGGAAUCUUCCGCAAUGGGCGAAAGCCUGACGGAGCAACGCCGCGUGAGUGAUGAAGGUCUUCGGAUCGUAAAACUCUGUUAUUAGGGAAGAACAAAUGUGUAAGUAACUAUGCACGUUUUGACGGUACCUAAACGGAAAGCCACGGCUAACUACGUG